rnacentral:rRNA from 1 species
CCUACGGGUGGCAGCAGUGGGGAAUAUUGCGCAAUGGGCGAAAGCCUGACGCAGCGCCGCCGCGUGAGGGAUGAAGGUCUUCGGAUCGUAAACCUCUGUCAGCAGGGAAGAACGGUCACUGUGCUAAUCAGCAGUGAAUUGAAGGUACCUGCAAAGGAAGCACCGGCUAACUCCGUGCCAGCAGCCGCGGUAAUACGGAGGGUGCGAGCGUUAAUCGGAAUUACUGGGCAUAAACCGCUCGUAGGCGGUAUGUCAAGUCAAGGGUGAAAUCACCGCGCUCAACGUGGGAACUUCCUUUGAAACUGGCAAACAGGAGUGUGUGAGAGGAUAGUGGAAUUCCAGGUGGAGGAGUGAAAACCGUAGAUAUCUGGAGGAACAUCAGUGGCGAAGGCGACUAUCUGGCACAUAACUGACGCUGAGGAGCGAAAGUGUGUGGAGCAAACAGGAUUAGAUACCCUUGUAGUC